rnacentral:rRNA from 1 species
UACAGAGGUGGCAAGCGUUGUUCGGAAUUACUGGGCGUAAAGGGCGCGUAGGCGGUCAGGCCAGUCCCGUGUGAAAUCCCUCGGCUCAACUGAGGAACUGCACGGGAAACUGCCUGGCUUGAGUUCGGGAGAGGGAAGCGGAAUUCCGGGUGUAGCGGUGAAAUGCGUUGAUAUCCUAAGGAACACCGGUGGCGAAAGCGGCGUACUGGGUCUUAUCUGACGCUGAGGCACGAAAGCUAGGGGAGCGAACGGG